GACGAACGCUGGCGGCGUGCUUAACACAUGCAAGUCGUACGGUAAGGCCCUUUCGGGGGUACACGAGUGGCGAACGGGUGAGUAACACGUGAGUAACCUGCCCACAACUUUGGGAUAACGCUAGGAAACUGGUGCUAAUACUGGAUAUGUGCUCCUGCUGCAUGGUGGGGGUUGGAAAGCUCCGGCGGUUGUGGCUGGACUCGCGGCCUAUCAGCUUGUUGGUGGGGUAGUGGCCUACCAAGGCGGCGACGGGUAGCCGGCCUGGGAGGGUGACCGGCCACAUUGGGACUGAGAUACGGCCCAGUCUCCUACGGGAGGCAGCAGUGGGGAAUAUUGCACGAUGGGCGAAAGCCUGAUGCAGCAACGCCGCGUGCGGGAUGACGGCCUUCGGGUUGUAAACCGCUUUCAGCAGGGACGACGCUUUUUGUGACGGUACCUGCAGAAGAAGCACCGGCUAACUACGUG
rnacentral:rRNA from 1 species